rnacentral:rRNA from 1 species
ACAGGGAUUGCCUCAGUAACGGCGAGUGAAGCGGCAACAGCUCAAAUUUGAAAUCUGGCCUCUUGGGGUCCGAGUUGUAAUUUGUAGAGGAUGUUUUGGGUACCGCCCGGGUUUAAAUUUCUUGGAACAGAAUGUCAAAGAGGGUGAGAAUCCCGUCUUGGACCCGCGGUAGGGCCUGUGUAAAACUCCUUCGACGAGUCGAGUUGUUUGGGAAUGCAGCUCAAAAUGGGUGGUAAAUUUCAUCUAAAGCUAAAUAUUGGCCAGAGACCGAUAGCGCACAAGUAGAGUGAUCGAAAGAUGAAAAGCACUUUGAAAAGAGAGUUAAACAGUAUGUGAAAUUGUUGAAAGGGAAGCGCUUGCAACCAGACUUGAGCGCGGCGGUUCCCCUAGCCUUUUGGCUGGGUUACUCCGUCGUGUCCAGGCCAACAUCGGUUCUGAGGGUCGGUUAAAGGCCUUGGGAAUGUAUCUACCCACGGGUAGACUUAUAGACCAGGGUGUCAUGCGACCUCUCGGGACCGAGGAACGCGCUUCGGCUCGGAUGUUGGCGUAAUGGUUGUCAGCGACCCGUCUUGAAACACGGACCAAGGAGUCUAACAUCUAUGCGAGUGUUUGGGUGUCAAACCCGGAACGCGGAAUGAAAGUGAACGGAGGUAGGAAGCUUCGGCUGCACUAUCGACCGAUCCUGAAGUUUACGGAUGGAUUUGAGUAAGAGCAUAGCUGUUGGGACCCGAAAGAUGGUGAACUAUGCCUGAAUAGGGUGAAGCCAGAGGAAACUCUGGUGGAGGCUCGCAGCGGUUCUGACGUGCAAAUCGAUCGUCAAAUUUGGGUAUAGGGGCGAAAGACUAAUCGA